AUUGAACGCUGGCGGCAUGCCUUACACAUGCAAGUCGAACGGCAGCACGGGAGCAAUCCUGGUGGCGAGUGGCGAACGGGUGAGUAAUACAUCGGAACGUGCCCAAUCGUGGGGGAUAACGCAGCGAAAGCUGUGCUAAUACCGCAUACGAUCUACGGAUGGAAGCAGGGGAUCGCAAGACCUUGCGCGAAUGGAGCGGCCGAUGGCAGAUUAGGUAGUUGGUGAGGUAAAGGCUCACCAAGCCGUCGAUCUGUAGCUGGUCUGAGAGGACGACCAGCCACACUGGGACUGAGACACGGCCCAGACUCCUACGGGAGGCAGCAGUGGGGAAUUUUGGACAAUGGGCGAAAGCCUGAUCCAGCCAUGCCGCGUGCAGGAUGAAGGCCUUCGGGUUGUAAACUGCUUUUGUACGGAACGAAACGGCCUUUUCUAAUAAAGAGGGCUAAUGACGGUACCGUAAGAAUAAGCACCGGCUAACUACGUGCCAGCAGCCGCGGUAAUACGUAGGGUGCAAGCGUUAAUCGGAAUUACUGGGCGUAAAGCGUGCGCAGGCGGUUAUGUAAGACAGUUGUGAAAUCCCCGGGCUCAACCUGGGAACUGCAUCUGUGACUGCAUAGCUAGAGUACGGUAGAGGGGGAUGGAAUUCCGCGUGUAGCAGUGAAAUGCGUAGAUAUGCGGAGGAACACCGAUGGCGAAGGCAAUCCCCUGGACCUGUACUGACGCUCAUGCACGAAAGCGUGGGGAGCAAACAGG
rnacentral:rRNA from 1 species